rnacentral:rRNA from 2 species
UCCGUAGGUGAACCUGCGGAAGGAUCAUUAUCGAGUUUUGACCGGGUUGUAGCUGGCCUUCCGAGGCAUGUGCACGCCCUGCUCAUCCACUCUACACCUGUGCACUUACUGUGGGCUUCAGAUUGCGAGGCACGCUCUUUACCGGGCUUGCGGAGCAUAUCUGUGCCUGCGUUUAUCACAAACUCUAUAAAGUAACAGAAUGUGUAUUGCGAUGUAACACAUCUAUAUACAACUUUCAGCAACGGAUCUCUUGGCUCUCGCAUCGAUGAAGAACGCAGCGAAAUGCGAUAAGUAAUGUGAAUUGCAGAAUUCAGUGAAUCAUCGAAUCUUUGAACGCACCUUGCGCUCCUUGGUAUUCCGAGGAGCAUGCCUGUUUGAGUGUCAUGAAAUCUUCAACCUACAAGCUUUUGUGGUUUGUAGGCUUGGACUUGGAGGCUUGUCGGCCGUUAUCGGUCGGCUCCUCUUAAAUGCAUUAGCUUGGUUCCUUGCGGAUCGGCUCUCGGUGUGAUAAUGUCUACGCCGCGACCGUGAAGCGUUUGGCGAGCUUCUAACCGUCUUAUAAGACAGCUUUAUGACCUCUGACCUCAAAUCAGGUAGGACUACCCGCUGAACUUAAGCAUAUCAAUAAGCGGAGGA